GCACCUCUCAGGGAUGGGGCAUGAUUGCUCGGUAUUAUACAACAAAUUCUAAAGUUGAAAUCGAGGCUACCGUACGGAAGGUGGUCAGGCAUAUAUUAUUAUGUAAUCUAGGUGAGUAUUUUGGUGAGAGGUGUUCAGAAAGGACCGAGGUCAGUAGAAGAUGGCGAAGAAAGUCAUGUGUCUCAUUGCUACAGUUUCCGCGAAAUGGUCGAAAAUCUGGGACUGAAAUUGGCAUCGAUUUGUUAUGCAAUGCAUUUGCCAGUAAACAGGUGGUGAGAGUUUUGCUCCAGCUGCGAACUUGUCUUCCACCUUAAAUGAUGUGAGGACAUUUUGGCAGUGACUCGACCGUGCACGAGAAGAUGAAAUACGUUUUCCAUCUGCAGACUAACUAGUUGAAAGUCCCACUUGAAAGCAAGCCUGGAUUUAAUUGCUCACCCCUGCUGGGACGGCGCACAUGGGAGGCAGGGAAUCCAUUGUCAAGUGCAAUGAUCUUAAAUAGUCCGCGGAUCAACUAGUUGUGAACGCCAUCUAAUUCUAUUCUUAGCGUUCAGCCCUGGUUUACUACUGUACAUAUGUACGUAUGUUACCAAGUUGUUGUACAGUACUCUUCCCGCUCAUGGCGUUUAAAUGGUAAUUUGUUGAUGCAUUUGCUAAGGUGUGGGUACACGUCACGGACAUGAAAACGACUUUUUAAAAGUUCUCUUUUAAUACGAAUAUUGCCAAUACAAAAAGCGACUUGCUUUAUUGAUGUUCUAAAUCGAUUGUGUUUAUUGUCAAAUUAUCACCAAGUAGUGUUCAAGAAGAGUACUUUGCUACACGUACAUAUAGUAGUAGUUUAUUUCCAUGUAGGUGUGGCAACAUAAACAACAAUGCACAGUAGUUGUAGGAUGACCGGUUUUCUUUUUGAUAGUAACAUAUUUGUGAGGGCAAAUCUGCAACUUGGCAUGCACCAUGAACAAUUAUUUAUUUGAAAUUGAAUCCUAAUAUUUGUUUACUUUUGAAAAGAAAGAAAACGUCCCAAUCGUGUAAAAUGCAUUUAUGGAAGUCUUUGGAAGUUAUAGUGUGUGUUCAGUUGAAGAAAAAAGAACGAGAUGUGCAUCCACCAAAAAUUAAUUAAUCGCUGUAAUUUUGAUAAUUAUGUUUCAGAAAUUGCAGCAUUAUCAAACUGGCAGAAUGUGACAUUAGUAUUGCAGAACUGUCCACAUGUAUUGAAACGAUCUUUCUUAAGUUUGAAUGUGCGAUUGUGACGCAUACAAUAUAAAAUAAACUUCGUGUUUCAGUGAUGGGGGG